UACGAAGGGGGCUAGCGUUGCUCGGAUUCAUUGGGCGUAAAGGGUGCGUAGGCGGCGCGGUAAGUCGGGUGUGAAAUCUCGGGGCUUAACUCCGAAACUGCAUUCGAUACUGCCGUGCUUGAGGACUGGAGAGGAGACUGGAAUUUACGGUGUAGCGGUGAAAUGCGUAGAUAUCGUAAGGAAGACCAGUGGCGAAGGCGGGUCUCUGGACAGUUCCUGACGCUGAGGCACGAAGGUCAGGGGGAGCAAACGGGAUGAUAACCG
rnacentral:rRNA from 1 species